ACAACAAGAUAUGCCAGCAGCAAUGGGAGAGGAGCUGCUUUGGUUCAUGGAUUACAGACUGCAACAUCCAUCAGCAUAAAAACAAACAGCUCCAAACCACUGUCCUUGGAACCUGGCCUAAUGCUCUGCAGGGCUGUGACAAAGGAAGAUUAAAAUUCCCCAAGUUUGCUCAGAUUCUCUUUCAUAACAAGAAGUAGCCAAAUAUAGCCGAGCAGGCAUGGUAAGCAAAUAAGAAGUAUCCUUCAUGACUGAACUGGGGGACCUUGAAACACUUUUUUGUAUUGGCAAGAAUUGAUACAAGCCAUCAGUUUCUAGUUCUUGGCACAAAGGAUGACUGCCAACCUCUAGACAAGGUAUAUCUAUCAAGUCUUAAUUAUAUAACUCCACAUAUUUCCCACCAAAAUCCAUUUAGUAAUUUGAUUAAUAUAAAUGUUAUAACACCUCACAUGUAUAUAUUGAACUCAUUGAAAGUACAUUAUCACUUGGAUAAUUAUAAUUACCCUUUGAAAUAUGUUAGGUAAAUAUUAUUAUUUCUAUUUUAUAGAUAAUAAGACAGCUCCAAAAAAAUUUAAAUUGGGGGUAUAAGAUUGCAUAUUUAGUAAAAUAAAAUAAAAUAAAAUAAAAUAAAAUAAAAUAAAAUAAAAUACAAGUAAAAAAACGAACCCAUGUGUCCUCUGUCCUACUCCAACUUGCUAAUAAAGUAUUUAUUGCAUACCUAAUGUAUGAAAGGCAAUAUAAAGGUAAUACAGAUAAUCCACUAAGCUUUAUUUUCUAUAACAAAAACUCAUACAGUGUUCACUUCGUGCCAGGUACUUUACUAAGCACUUUACAGAAAUUAACUCAUUUAAUUCUUAUAAUAACCCUCGCAUGAAGUGGAUACUGAGGCACAGAGAGGUUAAAUAACUUGCUCAAAGUCACACAGCAAGUAAGUGGCAGAGAUGGAAUGUUCUUUUAACAUUUAAGUGUGCGAUCCUAAGAAGAGUGGUAUUUGAUGGAACCAAGAGACUGAAUGAGUAUCAAUAGCAAUUGCACAGAAAGGAAGGAGUGAGAUGGAGAUAGAAUCCUUCAAUACAUCCUUGGCUUAGCUUUUAAAGACAGGUUGGUAGUAGGACUAAGAAGAAAAGGCUUCAGUUAACACUCUUUGUAUUGCAAAGCAUUUUCCAGUUUGUUUAAGGACCUGAGCCACCACACAUUGGUUCUGGUAACCUCUAUCACACAGAUGAAGUAGGAUCUCCAUUUCAGCACAGAUUUAAUUCACACCCAGCAUCAGGAAAACACUGAUUUAAUCUGUAAUUUUCUUACAGUGUCCAAUGCACUGUCUGUAAGAAUAGAUUCUAAUUUGUCUCCAAGAUAUACAUCUGGAGCAGGUUCCUAUGGGAUAUACUUAAAGGCAGGUCAAUAUUCUCUUUGCAUUCUAAAAUCUAUCUGCAGAAUAAAUAUUUGAGAUCCCUGAAACUGUUUCUGCUGUCCAUACUAUCUCCAGAAGAAGAGUCAGAAUCUUUUGAUCAUAGAUGACUUCCAACUUAGAAAACAGCACACAGACUCAUAAUGGGAUGUCAAUACACAUUGACCGCACUGGAAAAACGAGGGAGAGAAGAGAAGGGGAAGCUGAGUGCAAGUGAUGGUCAUCAUGCCAUACCGUGAUCUAAUAUCACCAGAAAGGAUUCUUCAAUCCAGCAACAACAGCAUGAGUAUUUUACAGUACUUUAGACUAAGUAUUUACACAUACAUUACCUCACUUGGUUCUCUCACAACUGCCCUGUGAAAAAAGUCUAAUAAUCAACUAGGUCAGACUGAUUGACAUAUUUAAAAUUAUAAGUGAUUUUGUGCUAAAAAGGGAUUUAUUUCUAUAUUUUCAAAUAAUAUCAUUUGCAUUCUUUCCAUUAUACGACACUAUAGUAUUAUUAUUAUUUUUUUAUUAUAGCACAAACCACUCAGUUUUUAGUCAAGUCAGAGAUUUGAGAUCUGUUCAAGGAAGGAAGGAAGGAAGAAAGGAAGGAAGGGAGGGAGGGAGGGAGACCUGUAUCUAUAGUCAAUGCUAUCUAUUCAGCAGUCAAAAUCUGGAAAGACUUGGAGAAGAUCAGUACACCACUGAUAACUAUGUUAACAAGAAUGUAAAUGCAAGCUAAGUUAUUGCUCAAUACAAUCUUCAGGACUGGCAAUCUCUCCAGACUGGCUGUAGAGUAUAUAUUGGUAGCUAUGUUAAUAGAUGUUUCCAACCUUUACAGACAUUCAUAAAAUAUAAUAGGAGAAAUAUUUGCCCCCUACUAUCCUGUAUUGGGCCU
rnacentral:lncRNA from 1 species